rnacentral:lncRNA from 1 species
GAACUUGCCGACCAAUGACAGUACUCGCCUACGGUCCCUACAAAAGAGAAGCCUAAUCCAGGGACGGUAUUGAUCAUGGCCCCUUCAUCUUCUUCCCUCGCCCGCAGCAUCGCCCUCCUGGCUCUGAUCUGCUGUGCCUUCGCAUGCUCCACGGCGGCACAAGGUAUGUUCGCCCAGCUUCAUACAUAUUCAUCUUAAUUCUACUGUAUUGUAUUGGUUAUGUGCACACUCACGGAAUGGUGGUUGAUGAUGUGUCUAGUUGCUCGAGGGGGGAGCCGUGCGCCGGUUCGUCCUCCGUCGCCGCAGUUCCCGUCGCCAAGGCGGCCGGGGCAGGCGCCGCUCGCUCCACCGCCGCCCUCAUCAACAGAAAGGCCGACGGCGCUCACGGCACACCGGAAGACCAUGGAGAUUGCUGCCCGCUAGCUCUGAAUUGAAGAUGAGGUCGACUUGUUUUUACUUGGUGUAUACAUUUGGCCCUGCUGGGCUGCUGGCGCUAAGGGUACUGUAUUUGGUUUCGUUUCAGCCUCUGGUUUAGAAUUAUGUCACAGUGCGCUGAUAAUAGGUCUCGAAAAUGCUAUCGUUCAGAUGAUCCUAUCAUCUCGAUUAAUAAACAUCUGAUUAAUAUGUAACAGUACGUAUAUAUGUGUAUGUGUACCAGGUCCUCGAUCUAUACAGAAGUAUGUCGGGUGUGUACAAUUUCAUUGAUAUGGAUUAACAGAUUCCCUGCUGAAG